AGAAGCAUGCAAUAAUAGCUUUUAGAAUGCCUCGGUGUUCCCCCAGAGAAUCUGGGAUGUAAAAGCCUUGGAUAAACCAUUCUAUGAGACGUUGCUUCU
rnacentral:sRNA from 12 species